AUUUGGAAUGAUCAAUUACAAAGGUAUGAAAAUGCCGAGGGUGUCGAUCCAGUAUGCGAGUUCCCCUUUGUUUACUCUCUAAAAAGAAUAAGUCUGGGGGAGAGAAAGAACAACGAAAAAGAAAAA
rnacentral:sRNA from 1 species